rnacentral:tRNA from 1 species
UGUGGCUCAGAGGUAGAGCACUUGCCUAGCAUGCAUGAGGAACUGGGUUCAAUCCUCAGCA